CCGAACCGAUACCGGAGGACAGGUCAUUUUACCUGUGGGGAUAUACCUGCCUGAGCAGGCGGCUGCAUUCGUGCAUCACCGUACCCCGUCAUACCUCAUUCGCGCAUUCUCCGGCGCACCGGGGAACGUUUA
ncrna:unclassified sequences EFASI RNA